CCGGCCUUGAAAUACCACCCUUUAAUGUUUGAUGUUCUAACGUGGACCCGUGAUCCGGGUUGCGGACAGUGUCUGGUGGGUAGUUUGACUGGGGCGGUCUCCUCCUAAAGAGUAACGGAGGAGCACGAAGGUUGGCUAAUCCUGGUCGGACAUCAGGAGGUUAGUGCAAUGGCAUAAGCCAGCUUGACUGCGAGCGUGACGGCGCGAGCAGGUGCGAAAGCAGGUCAUAGUGAUCCGGUGGUUCUGAAUGGAAGGGCCAUCGCUCAACGGAUAAAAGGUACUCCGGGGAUAACAGGCUGAUACCGCCCAAGAGUUCAUAUCGACGGCGGUGUUUGGCACCUCGAUGUCGGCUCAUCACAUCCUGGGGCUGAAGUAGGUCCCAAGGGUAUGGCUGUUCGCCAUUUAAAGUGGUACGCGAGCUGGGUUUAGAACGUCGUGAGACAGUUCGGUCCCUAUCUGCCGUGGGCGCUGGAGAACUGAGGGGGGCUGCUCCUAGUACGAGAGGACCGGAGUGGACGCAUCACUGGUGUUCGGGUUGUCAUGCCAAUGGCACUGCCCGGUAGCUAAAUGCGGAAGAGAUAAGUGCUGAAAGCAUCUAAGCACGAAACUUGCCCCGAGAUGAGUUCUCCCUGACCCUUUAAGGGUCCUGAAGGAACGUUGAAGACGACGACGUUGAUAGGCCGGGUGUGUAAGCGCAGCGAUGCGUUGAGCUAACCGGUACUAAUGAACCGUGAGG
rnacentral:rRNA from 1 species